rnacentral:rRNA from 1 species
GUAGGGUGCGAGCGUUAAUCGGAAUUACUGGGGGCGUAAAGCGUGCGCAGGCGGUUGUGCAAGACAGAUGUGAAAUCCCCCGGGGGCUCAACCUGGGGAAUUGCAUUUGUGACUGCACGGCUAGAGUGUGUCAGAGGGGGGUAGAAUUCCACGUGUAGCAGUGAAAUGCGUAGAGAUGUGGAGGAAUACCGAUGGCGAAGGCAGCCCCCUGGGAUAACACUGACGCUCAUGCACGAAAGCGUGGGGAGCAAACAGGAUUAGAUACCCUGGUAGUCCACGCCCUAAACGAUGUCAACUAGUUGUCGGGUCUUAAUUGACUUGGUAACGCAGCUAACGCGUGAAGUUGACCGCCUGGGGAGUACGGUCGCAAGAUUA